AGGCAGGGAUCAGGUAGCGCGUGCCGUAGUCUGUAUGGUGGUUUUGUUAAAUGGGCGAUGGGUGAUGAUGCUAGCGGAAGUGAUAGCAUUGCAGUUCCCCUUGCCCCAGAAUCUCAUUGGAAUGAUCUUGUUAUUAUCAUUGCUGUGGU